AAUAGAUACCCUGGUAGUCCACGCCGUAAACGAUGAGUGCUAAGUGUUAGGGGGUUUCCGCCCCUUAGUGCUGCAGCUAACGCAUUAAGCACUCCGCCUGGGGAGUACGGUCGCAAGACUGAAACUCAAAGGAAUUGACGGGGGCCCGCACAAGCGGUGGAGCAUGUGGUUUAAUUCGAAGCAACGCGAAGAACCUUACCAGGUCUUGACAUCCCGCUGACCGCUAUGGAGACAUGGCUUUCCCUUCGGGGACAGCGGUGACAGGUGGUGCAUGGUUGUCGUCAGCUCGUGUCGUGAGAUGUUGGGUUAAGUCCCGCAACGAGCGCAACCCUUGUUCUUAGUUGCCAUCAUUCAGUUGGGCACUCUAAGGAGACUGCCGGUGAUAAACCGGAGGAAGGUGGGGAUGACGUCAAAUCAUCAUGCCCCUUAUGACCUGGGCUACACACGUGCUACAAUGGACGGUACAAACGGUUGCGAAGUCGCGAGACGGAGCCAAUCCGAGAAAACCGUUCUCAGUUCGGAUUGUAGGCUGC
rnacentral:rRNA from 1 species